rnacentral:misc_RNA from 1 species
UCCCAAGCCUUCUGGCGAUCUCUUAUAAAGAAAGCCCUCCAUAAUAGAUUGAAAAGGGUCCUUUGGGGAAAAGUUUUCCCUUUGAUAAGAUGAAGCCGGGGAAGGUUUUCCGGUUUAUCCCGGAGGGCUUGUAGCUCAGUUGGUUAGAGCGCGCGCUUGAUAAGCGUGAGGUCGGAGGUUCAAGUCCUCCCAGGCCCACCAAUCAUUCUAUCAAUCUAUAAGCGCUUGUGGAAAUUGCUCAUAGAAAACUUUCUUUAUUCAUUUAUGAAAAAUCUCCUUAUAGAGAUAGAGAGAGACGCUUUUCCCUUUGGGUUUGAAAACUCAAGAUUACAGGUGUUAAAGUGGCUUUAAAGGAAAAGUGACAAAGAAUAAGGAAUAACGAUUUAAGUUAUCCCUUUUUGGUGAUCUUGAUUUGGGUGUUUUGAAUGCGUUAUGUUUUUUAGGGGGGCCGUAGCUCAGCUGGGAGAGCACCUGCUUUGCAAGCAG